AUCAGAACCAGUGUCUAACUGGAGUUGCAUUGUCUGGAAUGCUCCGGAUAACAAAGGAGGAACCAUUACAGCCUAUUACAUGUGAAAGGAACUUUCCCCGGACUCGAAGAAGCAGAUCUGCAUUAACUUCUUCAAGAGCGUAGGAAGAACUUCCUCUUACUCACAGAAAAGGAGAUGACAUGUUCUGCACUGUCUCCUGCAGGGCAUCACUGCAUCUUUUCCUGGAGUGCCAGGCAGAAGACUGUGUGAGCCUGAAAAUAAAAGUAACGUGGAUUUAAACCUGGAGAAGAAGACCCAGCGUGGAACAAGCUGAGGACCGCUCAGUUUUAUGUUUCUUCCUCCAGCUUUAACACUUCUCUGAUUCCAGAAAAGGUGCAGUUUGGUCCAACACCUGGAAUCCCCUGUGCUGUGUCUGCUGUGCCCUAUGACGAGUUAUGGACCCCCUGUGACGCAGCUGGAGCAGGGCAGGCUGGGCUUGGCCUUUGCUGUCACUUGGCUCCUGAGCAGGUGCCUGGUUUGCUGCACAGAACACAACUGCAGGAAGAAAAUGCACUGAGAGGAAAGACUGUUCCAUUAAUGUUUCUCCUUCUCCUGCUGGAUAUAAUAAGAAUGCCAUGUUGGAUCCUUUCCUGUGUUAGCAGAAGCUGAAAAUUCAAACAUAAUGAGCCGGGCCCCAGAACUGUGAAAGUAAAUCAGUGCAGUAAGAACAACCUUUUAGUAAUAUUUUCUACACACUUCAUUUUCUUUACAUUUCUUGAAAACUCAAGACAUACUUUUCAGUACUACUUCAAGAGCAUUAGGGCAGGAUCUGUUCAUAAAUUGCAUCUGCAGCCCUGAACCUGUCAUGCAAUUAGUCUUGGGGCAUUGAGGCAUUAACAUAAACUCAGCUGUGAGAUGUGGAAGAUCAAAAGUUGGUCCAAGAGUAUAAAAAUAAAA